AACGCUGGCGGCAUGCCUAACACAUGCAAGUCGAACGAGACCUUCGGGUCUAGUGGCGCACGGGUGCGUAACGCGUGGGAAUCUGCCCUUGGGUUCGGAAUAACAGUUAGAAAUGACUGCUAAUACCGGAUGAUGUCGUAAGACCAAAGAUUUAUCGCCCAGGGAUGAGCCCGCGUAGGAUUAGCUAGUUGGUGAGGUAAAAGCUCACCAAGGCGACGAUCCUUAGCUGGUCUGAGAGGAUGAUCAGCCACACUGGGACUGAGACACGGCCCAGACUCCUACGGGAGGCAGCAGUGGGGAAUAUUGGACAAUGGGCGAAAGCCUGAUCCAGCAAUGCCGCGUGAGUGAUGAAGGCCCUAGGGUUGUAAAGCUCUUUUACCCGGGAUGAUAAUGACAGUACCGGGAGAAUAAGCCCCGGCUAACUCCGUGCCAGCAGCCGCGGUAAUACGGAGGGGGCUAGCGUUGUUCGGAAUUACUGGGCGUAAAGCGCACGUAGGCGGCUUUGUAAGUCAGAGGUGAAAGCCCGGAGCUUAACUCCGGAACAGCCUUUGAGACUGCAUCGCUUGAAUCCAGGAGAGGUGAGUGGAAUUCCGAGUGUAGAGGUGAAAUUCGUAGAUAUU
rnacentral:rRNA from 1 species